GAUGUUUGUUUGUUUUUUUUUUUUUUAACGUGAUGCUGGGGACCAAACCCAGUGCCUCACCCUUACUAGGCAAGCACUCUACCACUGAGCUACAACCUCACCUCUUCUUCCUACUACUGUGGACUAGUUGGUCAGUAAGUGAGCCUUCAUCCCCUGGAUGGGUAGUUAAGGUUUUUUUCUUCCCUUGGUUUAUAUGUCAGUGUAUUAGUUGCCUCAUUCAUGCCAAGACUAAUAACUGUUGAAAACGAUUAGUUGAUUGGCUUUACUCCAUAAAAAAGCAAAAAGUAAGAGAAGUGAUCAUAUAGCCAGAUGUUUCUGAAACUUGAAUAAAGUGUGGGUAAUAACAUGUUUAUAUAACCAUGUUACUUAGUAUUUACAAACCUACACCUAGGUAUAAAAUCCUUUAACUACAGAACUCAAAUGUUAUCAAAAACAAUUUUUUAAAACUUAAGCACUAAUCAAAGGACAAAUGAAAAAAUUAACCUAGCAUUCCUGAUGUUGUGGGUUAGCUGAAAUUUACCUUCUUUUUCCUCACAAGACUCUGAUACUGAUUGCUACAUAAAGUUCUUUAGAGUAUGUGAUUCCUCCAUGCUAUUCCCCCCAUGUGCCUUGUGGUACAACACUUUGGUGCUACUACUUUUCCAUACUUGAACUAACAUUAUUCAUAAGGCUUCCUUGGUCUCCAUACAAUGUGACCAUCAUUUUUAUAAUACUUCUGAUGAUUGCUAACAUUCAGUGAGUACAAGCAUUUAGCAAACUUCAUUUUAUUUUAUUUAUUUCAUUUAUAGUCUUUUUUAUUUGUUAAUUUUAGGUAUAUGUGACUGUAGAGUAUAUGUUGACAUUUGUACAAAUAUGGCGGAUAUUUUAUUCUAAUUAGGAUCCCAGUUUUGUGGAUAUACAUGAUGUGGAGAUUCACUGUGGAAUACUUAUGUAUGUAAAUAUUCCCAUUCUCCCUUCCCUUCAUUUCCCUUUGUCUAAUCCACUGGUGCAAGCAUCAAAUUUCCCCAUUUGAGGGCCUAAAGAUGGCAGCCAUUCACUCUAACCCAUUGUGACAAGAUUUGGAACAGGAUCUAUAAUCUCCAUAUCCACUCUAGAGAGGUCUGUCCUAGCAUUGGAGAGUUAUCCAAGUCAAUGUGGAAAAUGGGGGCUGACACAGAAAACUAGAAUCAUCAGACCAGCUGAGCAAAUGGGCCUCUCAAGUAGCACAAUCCACCCAGCUGGCCUCCAUUUCAAUGGUCUAGAGAAGUCCCCUUGGAAUUAGAAUAACCAUUCUUUCUUAAGAAUUUUUUUUUAAAUUUUUUAUUGUUAGUUGUUCAAAACAUUACAUAGUAUCUUAAGAAUUUUUUUAAAAGAUUUUUUUUAUUUGUUCUACUUAGUUGUAUAUGACAGCAGAAUGCAUUUCAAUUCAUUGUACACAAAUGGAGCACAACAUUUCAAUUCUCUGGUUGUACAUGAUGUAGAGAUGGACCUUUCGUGCAGUUAAAUGUGUACCUAGGGUAAUGAUGUCCUUUGCAUUUCACCAUCUUUCCUACCCCCAUGAUCCCUCCCCUCCCUCCCCUUUGUCCAAUCCAAAGUUCCUUCAUUCUUCACAUGUCCCUCCUGCCCCCAUCAUGGGUCAGCAUCCACUAAUCAGAGAAAACAUUCAGCCUUUAGUUUUUUGGGAUUGGUUUACUUUGCUUAGCAUGAUAUUCUCCAACUCCAUCCAUUCACUUGCAAAUGCCAUAAUUUUAUUCUCUUUUAAUGCAAGUAGUAUUUAAUUGUGUAUAUAUACCACAGUGUCUUUAUCCAUUCAUUUACUCAUGGGCAUCUAGGUUGGUUCCACAGUUUAGCUAUUGUGAAUUCAGCUGCUAUAAACGUUGAUGUGGCUGUGUUACUAUAGUAUGCUGAUUUUGAGUCCUUUGGGUAUAGACAAAGGAAUGGGAUAUCUGGGUCAAAUGGUGGUUCCUUUUCAAGUUUUCUAAGGAAUCUCCACACUGCUUUCUAAAGUGGUUGCAUAUAACAAACAAUUUGCAAUCCCACCAGCAAUAUAUGAUUGUUCCUUUUUUCCCCACAUCCUUGUCAACACUUAUUGCUUGUAUUUUUGAUAACUGCCAUUCUGACUAGGGUGAGAUGAAAUCUUAGAGUAGUUUUGAUUUGCAUUUCUCUAAUUACUAAAGAUGUUGAAUAUUUUUUUUUCAUAUAUUUGCAAACUUCAUUUUAAAAACUUAGUACUUACAACAAAUCUAUGAUGAAGUAUUGAUAUAUACGUACCAUCUUGUGGGUAGAGAAAUUAAGGCUUAGAGAUAGUAAUUUGAUGUCACAAAGCUAGCAGGUGGUUACACUAGACUAAGCAAUUUUACUCCAGAACCCAUACUUGUAACCAGUUGGUAUUAUUGCCUCCUUGUAAGCCAUUAGCCUACUUUUAUUAAAUUUUGACAAUCGAAGUAAUGUUUUUGCCAACCGUGUUAUUAUAAAUGUAAUACCAAAUAUUGACCCAAAUGGACACCAUCAUGCUUAUAAAUAUUUCUCAUCAUUGAAAUGAUAAGAAAUGAAGAUGCAAAUUAAAAUAAUUGUAUAGUGCUGAGAGCCAUAGCCAAGUAGGAAUGACAUGGCAUUUUUAAUUGAAAGGUGACCCUGCUCUGGGAUUAGGAUGGCUCCAGGUUUAGGGUGGAUCCUGCUGGAUUAGGGUGGUUCCAGGUUUAGGGUGGAUCCUGCUGGGAAUAGGGUGUAUCCUGCUGCCUCAGGCGCCCACUCCUUGAGUUCCUUGAGUUCCCGUUGAGUUUGUGCGGGGUUCUGAGAGUAUUUGGUACACAGAGCCCGGUGAAGGGAGUGUAUUUUUCCCGGAAAAAUGCGUGUAGAGCCGGGGAGUUCGGGAAUAAAGAGUUGCUGUUUGAAUCUACCAGGCUUUGUGGUGGCUCGGUUAUUUUGUGCCCAGCCAGAUUGCGGCAGUAUAGAAUUCCUGGUUUACUAAGACUAUAGAGGAAACAUUGAUUUGGAAGUCUUUUAAGAACUUAAAACAUAGCCAGGCAUGGUGGCACACACCUGUAAUCCCAGUGGCUCAGGAGGCUGAGACAGGAGGAUCUCGAGUUCAAAACCAGCCUCAGCAAAAGUGAGGAACUAAGGAACUCAGGAGACCCUGUCUCUAAAUAAAAUACAAAAAUAAGGCUGGGGAUGUGGCUCAGUGGUCGAGUGCCCCUGAGUUUAAUCCCCAGUACAAAAAAAAAAAAAAGAACCUAAAAUGUGUGGAAAUAUAAGUAAAGCCAUUAUUGAAGGCAAUUCAUUCAGUCAUUACUCGAAGUAUAUAAAUUAUAUUAUCCAUUGGGCUACCAACUCCCCUUAAAGGGAACAAAUCUGAAUUAGAACAGGAGAAACAUUCACAAAGUAAACUUCCAUUUUUAAAAGAUAUUUAUUUUUUAGUUGUAGUUGGACACAAUAUCUUUAUUUUAUUUAUUUUUAUGUGAUGCUAAGGAUCGAACACAGGGCCUUGCACAUGCUAGGCGAGUGCCGUACCACAGAGCCACAACCCCAGUCCGUAGACUUACAUUUUUGACUGUAAAAGCAGGUAGAUAUGAGGCUCAUUGCCAAAGGAGGCUAUGGAAUUUGUCCAUUACCUUGUGUUGUAUUGUUGUUUGCCCAAUGUUUAAAUGGUGUGGUAACUUAUCUUCUUAGAGAUAGAUGAUGGAGAUGAGAUAGGUUGUUUUGUUACAAGUCAUGCACUGCAUAAGGACAUGUUGAUCAAAAGAUGGACUGUAAAUACAAGGUAGUCCCAAAAGAGUAUAAUGAAGCUGAAAAUUUUCUGUCUCUUAGUCAUAGCAUUGUAGCUGUCCUGAUAUCUAUCCUAGGACAAAGCAUUACUCAAUGUUUAUGGCAGUGCUGUGUAAACACCCACUGUGUGGCUAGUUGUAUAAAAUAUAACACAUGCUAUCAUGACAAUAUGUGAUACUUGGGGCUGGGGAUGUGGCUCAAGCGGUAGCGCGCUCGCCUGCCAUGCGUGCGGCCUGGGUUCGAUCCUCAGCACCACAUACAAAUAAAGAUGUUGUGUCUGCCGAA
rnacentral:lncRNA from 1 species